UGUACUACUCAGAGUUUGAUCCUGGCUCAGGACGAACGCUGGCGGCGUGCUUAACACAUGCAAGUCGAACGGUGAAAGAGGAGCUUGCUCCUCUGGAUCAGUGGCGAACGGGUGAGUAACACGUGAGUAACCUGCCCUUGACUCUGGGAUAACCUCGGGAAACCGAAGCUAAUACCGGAUACGACCCUCGGAGGCAUCUCCAGAGGGUGGAAAGAACUUUGGUCAAGGAUGGACUCGCGGCCUAUCAGGUAGUUGGUGAGGUAACGGCUCACCAAGCCGACGACGGGUAGCCGGCCUGAGAGGGUGACCGGCCACACUGGGACUGAGACACGGCCCAGACUCCUACGGGAGGCAGCAGUGGGGAAUAUUGCACAAUGGGCGCAAGCCUGAUGCAGCAACGCCGCGUGAGGGACGACGGCCUUCGGGUUGUAAAGCCCGUUUACGUAGGGAAGAAGCGAAAGAUGACGGUACCUGCAGAAAAAGCACCGGCUAACUACGUGCCAGC
rnacentral:rRNA from 1 species